rnacentral:RNase_P_RNA from 1 species
AAAAUAAACCAUCUUAUCGCUUUUUAAAGAGGAAAGUCCGAACAACACAGAGCGCCGUGCUUCUUAACAGGAAGGGGGAUCGUAAGGUUCUACAGCUAGUGCCACAGAAAAUUACCGCCUUUCGGGGUAAGGGUGAAAAGGUGGGGUAAGAGCCCACCGCUAAUUUGGUGACAAGUUAGGCAUAGGUAAACCUCACGGGUUGCAAGAUCAAAUAGGCUGACUGUCGCAAGACAAAAGGGUUGCUCGUCCGAUGUCAGUGGGUAGAUUGCUCGAGCGAAUGCGUGAGUAUUCGUCAAGAUAAAUGAUAAGAGGGCAUGCAAAUGCUUACAGAAUUCGGCUUAUCGGUUUAUUUUCUCA